GGCUCAUUAAAUCAGUUAUCGUUUAUUUGAUAGUACCUUACCACUUGGAUAACCGUGGUAAUUCUAGAGCUAAUACAUGCUAAAAACCCCGACUUCUGAAGGGGUGUGUUUAUUAGAUAAAAAACCAAUGCCCUUCGGGGCUCUUUGGUGAUUCAUGAUAACCUAACGGAUCGCAUGGCCUUGCGCCGGCGACGGUUCAUUCAAAUUUCUGCCCUAUCAACUUUCGAUGGUAAGGUAUUGGCUUACCAUGGUUUCAACGGGUAACGGGGAAUUAGGGUUCGAUUCCGGAGAGGGAGCCUGAGAAACGGCUACCACAUCCAAGGAAGGCAGCAGGCGCGCAAAUUACCCAAUCCCGACACGGGGAGGUAGUGACAAUAAAUACUGAUACAGGGCUCUUUAGGGUCUUGUAAUUGGAAUGAGUACAAUUUAAACCCCUUAACGAGGAACAAUUGGAGGGCAAGUCUGGUGCCAGCAGCCGCGGUAAUUCCAGCUCCAAUAGCGUAUAUUAAAGUUGUUGCAGUUAAAAAGCUCGUAGUUGAAACUUGGGUCUGGCUAGCGGGUCCGCCUCACCGCGUGCACUUGUCCGGCUGGACCUUUCCUUCUGGAGAACCUCAUGCCCUUCACUGGGUGUGUUGGGGAACCAGGACUUUUACUUUGAAAAAAUUAGAGUGUUCAAAGCAGGCCUUUGCUCGAAUACGUUAGCAUGGAAUAAUAGAAUAGGACGUGCGGUCCUAUUUUGUUGGUUUCUAGGAUCGCCGUAAUGAUUAAUAGGGAUAGUCGGGGGCAUCAGUAUUCAAUUGUCAGAGGUGAAAUUCUUGGAUUUAUUGAAGACUAACUACUGCGAAAGCAUUUGCCAAGGAUGUUUUC
rnacentral:rRNA from 1 species